rfam:Ajellomyces capsulatus H143 mitochondrial scaffold supercont2.49, whole genome shotgun sequence.
ACGGCUAUAAGUUAAUGGUAAACUCGUUGUCUUCCAAACAAUAAAUAUCGAUUCGAAUUCGGUUAGCCGUA